rnacentral:lncRNA from 1 species
GUCAGGUCCAGACCAUGUGUUGUGUGUUGUUAGAUUUAUUGUCUAUUUACUCUGAGUAGUCAGGUCCAGACCAUGUGUUGUAAGUUGUUGUAUUUAUAUGUCUAUUUACUCUGAGUAGUCAGGUCCAGACCAUGUGUUGUAAGUUGUUGUAUUUAUAUGUCUAUUUACUCUGAGUAGUCAGGUCCAGACCAUGUGUUGUAAGUU